rnacentral:rRNA from 1 species
AGCUCCAAUAGCGUAUAUUAAAAUUGUUGCGGUUAAAACGCUCGUAGUUGGAUAUUUGUUAUGGACGGUCGGUCUACCCCAGUGGUCAGUACUUCGACUCGUUUCAAACACAUUUCUGGAGGAAGUGUUUGCACUUGAUUGUGUUGCACGUGCUCCGUGACAUUUACUUUGAGGAAAUGAGAGUGUUUCAAGCAGACAUCUGUCGUGAAUGCGCUAGCAUGGAAUAAUAGCAUGGGACCAUUGCUUGACACUGUUGGUCUUGGGCUGU